UACGGGGGGGGUAAGCGUUGUUCGGAAUUACUGGGCGUAAAGGGCUCGUAGGCGGCCAACUAAGUCAGACGUGAAAUCCCUCAGCUUAACUGGGGAACUGCGUCUGAUACUGGAUGGCUUGGAUUCGGGAGAGGAAUGCGGAAUUCCAGGUGUAGCGGUGAAAUGCGUAGAUAUCUGGAGGAACACCGGUGGCGAAGGCGGCAUUCUGGACUGCAACUGACACUGAGGAACGAAAGCCAGGGGAGCAAACGGG
rnacentral:rRNA from 1 species